UAUUUAUCGCGCCCCCAUAAAUGGGAAGACCAUAAACUCGUUUUGAGAUACAGAAGAUCGAGUGCAUUUCUACCCCCAAUAUUUUCAUUCCAACACUUCCAAAUUGCAAUUCGAUCGGGAAGACACCCCUACCCCGCUUAUUAUACUCUAUCGUGCAUAAAAAUAAGCCGAUUUAUUUUAUAAGCGAAGUUUACCCUACGAACACAAAUUUGUAAUCAAGGUAUAUUGAUGAAAAAGUUUAAUGGAUAGCUUGUAAUUUUAAUGAGAGAGCACAGAAUCAUUUAGUUUCCGUAUUAAACGAAGCGUAACCUUGGAGGGGGUAGGUUGCCGGAUAACAUAAACUCGCUCCAGCCCCUUCGCGCUCCCUCAUCCAAGAUGGCAGCUGCCUUGAAACGAUCCAAAGGUCAGGUGCCCUUUUCUGAUUUGAGUGCAAGGUGGAUUCUGGUAUCUGUGAGGAUGUUGGCAUCUGCAAAGAUGUGGAGUGCCCUAUAUAAGCAAGAGAUGCUUCCCCUAAAUAAAGAAGAAAUCUCAGUCAAUUAAAAUUGCCUUUAACUUUGUA